rnacentral:rRNA from 1 species
AAGACCUUGCGCUUUUGGAGCGGCCGAUGUCUGAUUAGCUUGUUGGUAAGGUAAAAGCUUACCAAGGCUUCGAUCAGUAGCUGGUCUGAGAGGACGGCCAGCCACACUGGGACUGAGACACGGCCCAGACUCCUACGGGAGGCAGCAGUGGGGAAUUUUGGACAAUGGGGGCAACCCUGAUCCAGCCAUGCCGCGUGAGUGAAGAAGGCCUUCGGGUUGUAAAGCUCUUUCAGCCGGAACGAAACGGUUACGGUUAAUACCCGUGACUACUGACGGUACCGGAAGAAGAAGCACCGGCUAACUACGUGCCAGCAGCCGCGGUAAUACGUAGGGUGCAAGCGUUAAUCGGAAUUACUGGGCGUAAAGCGUGCGCAGGUGGUUUUGUAAGUCAGAUGUGAAAUACCCCGGGCUUAACCUGGGAACU